GCCCACUGCGCCUGAGGAGCGGGAGACACGAGGGAACUGACUAAUAAAAGUCACGGCGAUCGAGUGCGCCGCCCAACUCGCAGACUUUUCAUUCGAUCAGAGAAAGCUCCAGCACUCUCGACGUGGUCACGGCUCCGCGGCAUUGAGAAGUUCCGAAAUGCCACUUCAAUGCACGCCCGAGACGCAAAUCCCUCUUUAGUGAUUAUGAAGGAUUAGGCGGGGAUCGUCUUUGGUACAGGCCAGCCAUUGAUGACAACAACCUCCACGUGAUAUGGAAUAAGGAAGUAGGGGGCGCGGGUGUGUAAUGCGGCUCUGCACCCAAAUCUAAAUAUAGCCCCCACUGUAGAGGCACGGCCUGGUGUUGGCAGUCGACGACGGCUGCCUGUGGGCAUUGCACUAGAACAUAUCAUUAACAUUAGCAGAUCGUCCGUGGCAUUGCACCAGGAACGUAUUAUUAAUAUCAGCACAGCUCCGGUGGCAUUGCGCAAGAACGUACAAUGCGUAUAAGCGGACCGCCAGCGGCGUUGCAUCAGUACCAUAAUUUUAGCGUUUAGAUGAGGGAUGGUAAUUCAGUGCACUUUAAAAAGGUGAACAUAUUAUUCACAGCUGCAGACCACCCGUGGCAUUGCACAACAGACGUAUCAUUAAUAGCGGCAGACUGCGCGUUGAAUUGCAUAAGGAACGUAUUGUGGACGUUGGUUUGUCCACCCGUGGCAUUGCACAAAGAACGAACUGUUCUUGUGAGCUGACCUCCCGUGGCACUGCUCUGUGUGCAACAUUCUAAUCAGCUGUCACUUUUUGACGUUUCAAACCAAACAUCCAACCAACUGAGCUGAAGUGACCCCAACUUCCCUUCUAAUCAAACACUAUCAUGCAAGUACAAGAACAUAAUUUCAUUCAAUAUACUUAACCAGCAAAUCAUGUCCAUAUAGUCUAUGCACCAUGAUACAUUUCAAAUAUGAACAUAUUUUUGUUUUAAUGCCCCUGUAUGCUCACCUGAAAUUUCUGCCUGAUACAUGCAUCAUAUGGAGUAGCAUCAUUAGGCUCACCAUUAUUUUUAACAGUAAUUUCUGAUCUAAUAUUAUGAGAUGAGGGAUGGUAAUUCAGUGCACUUUAAAAAGGUGGAGGGAAAAGCCUGGAGAAAAUUGGCCAAUCAGUGUGUGGGCAUGCAAAAGAGUGUUAGACUUUCCAGUCAAAAGUCCUGCAAAACUGCUGGAAACUGAGUUCAGGGAAUUUUAUUCGUUCCUGGGAUAAGGGUGUCACUGGCUAGGCAGUAUUUAUUGCCCAUCCCUAAUUACCCAGAGGGCAGUUAAGAGUCAACCAUAUUGCUGUGGGUCUGGAGUCACAUGUAGGCCAGACAAGAGCGGUCCUUGAUCUGCACUGGAAUUCUCGGCUGGCCUAAAUCCUUCGGCAGAACAUUACGGGAAGUUGGCAUGUACCAAAUGGCAGGAAGCCCUGUGGGAGAAAGAGAUUUUGACAGAGAUGCAGUGGCAAUGCUUCUGGAUGCCAUGCAGAGAAGUCCAAUAUCACACAGGUGCAACUGCAUAUCUGGACAGACUGAAUGCCCUUUUCCAUAUCAAAAGGUUUGUCUCAAUACCUGCGGUGGAAGGAUGGUUAUAAAGAGAAGAGUGGGAAGCUGCAAGCAG